rnacentral:tRNA from 1 species
GGGCCUUUAGUUCAGUUGGCUAGAACGCUUCCAUGGCACGGAAGAGGUCAAGGGUUCAAGUCCCUUAAGGUCCA